CAUGCAGGCAUGAGUAGCGAUAAUUGAGGUGAGAAUCCUCAACGCCGAAAACCCAAGGUUUCNUACGCGAUGCUCGUCAUCGUAGGGUUAGUCGGGACCUAAGUCGAGUCCGAAAGGGGUAGACGAUGGCAAAUUGAUUAAUAUUUCAAUACCAACAUAUAAGCGCGAUGUGGGGACGCAUAGAGUUAAUCGAGGUCACUGAUGGAAUAGUGGCUCGAAGGACGUAGGCUGUUACUUAGGCAAAUCCGGGUAACGUUAGGCCGAGAUCUUACAGGCUCUUGACACUCUUCGGAGGAGAUGGAGAAUCGAUGAUACUGUCGUGCCAAGAAAAGCCACUAAGUAUAUUAUAUGUUGCCCGUACCGUAAACCGACACAGG
rnacentral:rRNA from 1 species